AGAGCGAACGCUGGCGGCAGGCCUAACACAUGCAAGUCGAGCGCGUGUAGCAAUACACGAGCGGCAGACGGGAGAGUAACACGUGGGAACGCGCCCUUCGGUUCGGAAUAACUCAGGGAAACUUGAGCUAAUACCGGAUACGCCCUUACGGGGAAAGAUUUAUUGCCGAAGGAACGGCCCGCGUCCGAUUAGCUAGUUGGUGAGGUAACGGCUCACCAAGGCGACGAUCGGUAGCUGGUCCGAGAGGAUGACCAGCCUCACUGGGACUGAGACACGGCCCAGACUCCUACGGGAGGCAGCAGUGGGGAAUAUUGGACAAUGGGCGCAAGCCUGAUCCAGCCAUGCCGCGUGGAUGAUGAAGGCCUUAGGGUUGUAAAGUCCUUUUAACGGGAAGAUAAUGACGGUACCGUAGAAUAAGCCCGGCUAACUUCGUGCCAGCAGCCGC
rnacentral:rRNA from 1 species